rnacentral:tRNA from 1 species
UCGGCCAAGCGCCCACGGUUAGAUGAGCGCUCCUGCCUGUCGCGCAGAAGGUCGCGAGCUCGAGUCUCGUCGUCCCAGCCA